GCUCCCACGACCUGGACUGUCCUCGCUUUUAGCCCGAGAUAAAAAAGGACAAGAAAUUUAGAGGGGAAGGUAAAUUGGAGCCAAAAGGAGUCGAUCACCCAUGGACGAACUGAAGAGAUGUGAACAUCUGAUGACAGUGGAUUUGGCACAUUCACUUAAUAUUGUAUGAGGUGGUUUACAGUUUGGACUUUGACAUGCGGAGAAGAUGUGAAUUUGCAGUUCGGCCGGGGUUUUUACCUCAACCAACAAUUUCGAGCUCAUGAGCGCUUUUCUGACGCUUCUCGCCCUCAUUUUCGUCAUAGGGUUUUGGAUCAAAUCAAGAAAACACACAGCAAAGAGAACAGUUAGGUACAUCUGUUGCUUGUGGGGUGCUCCGUGUAACCUGGAUUACACACUGAACACUUUCUUAGUUCUUAGCUGUCUCAGUGGGUUUGUUCACCUCACUGCUGCACAGCAGAGUCUAACAGAACUGCAGACUACAC